AUUGAACGCUGGCGGCAGGCCUAACACAUGCAAGUCGAACGAGUGGCGGACGGGUGAGUAAUGUCUGGGAAACUGCCUGAUGGAUGGGGAUAACUACUGGAAACGGUAGCUAAUACCGCAUACCAUCGGAUGUGCCCAGAUGGGAUUAGCGAGUAGGUGGGGUAAAGGCUCACCGAGGCGCCGAUCCCUAGCUGGUCUAAGAGGAUGACCAGCAACACUGGAACUGAGACACGGUCCAGACUCCUACGGGAGGCAGCAGUGGGGAAGAUUGCACAAUGGGCGCAAGCCUGAGGCAGCCAUGACGCGGGUAUGAAGAAGGCCUGCGGGUUGGAAAGUACUUUCAGCGGGGAGGCGUUACCCGCAGAAGAAGCACCGGCGAACUCCGUGCCAGCCGCCGCGGUAAUAC
rnacentral:rRNA from 1 species